rnacentral:rRNA from 1 species
ACUGCGAGUGAGCGGGAAAGCUCAAAUUUAAAAUCUGGCAGUCUUUGGCUGUCCGAGUUGUAUUCUAGAGAAGCGCUUUCCGUGCCGGACCGUGUACAAGUCUCUUGGAACAGAGCGUCAUAGAGGGUGAGAAUCCCGUCUUUGACACGGACUACCGGUGCUUUGUGAUGCGUUUUCAAAGAGUCGAGUUGUUUGGGAAUGCAGCUCAAAAUGGGUGGUAAAUUCCAUCUAAAGCUAAAUAUUGGCGAGAGACCGAUAGCGAACAAGUACCGUGAGGGAAAGAUGAAAAGCACUUUGGAAAGAGAGUUAAACAGUACGUGAAAUUGCUGAAAGGGAAACGCUUGAAGUCAGUCGCGUUGUUCAGAACUCAGCCUGGCUUUUGCUUGGUGCACUUUCUGAAUGACGGGCCAGCAUCAAUUUNGACUGUUGGAUAAAGGCNAGAGAAAUGUGGCUCCUUUGGGAGUGUUAUAGUCUCUGGUUGCAUACAAUGGUUGGGAUUGAGGAACUCAGCAUGCCUUUAUGGUCGGGGUUCGCCCACGUUCAUGCUUAGGAUGCUGGCGUAAUGGCUUUAAACGACCCGUCUUGAAACACGGACCAAGGAGUCUAACAUGCCUGCGAGUGUUUGGGUGGAAAACCCGAGCGCGCAAUGAAAGUGAAAGUUGGGAUCCCUGUCGUGGGGAGCACUGACGCCCGGACCAGACCUUCUGUGACGGAUCCGCGGUAGAGCAUGUAUGUUGGGACCCGAAAGAUGGUGAACUAUGCCUGAAUAGGGUGAAGCCAGAGGAAACUCUGGUGGAGGCUCGUAGCGAUUCUGACGUGCAAAUCGAUCGUCAAAUUUGGGUAUAGGG